GUUAAGAGAUCUACUAUGCUAA
rnacentral:miRNA from 1 species